UACGUAGGGGGCUAGCGUUGUCCGGAAUCAUUGGGCGUAAAGAGCGUGUAGGCGGCCCGGUAAGUCCGCUGUGAAAGUCGGGGGCUCAACCCUCGAAUGCCGGUGGAUACUGUCGGGCUAGAGUGCGGAAGAGGCGAGUGGAAUUCCGUGGUGUAGCGGUGAAAUGACGGCAGAUAUCAGGAGGAACACCAAUUGCGAAGGCAGCUCGCUGGGACGUAACUGACGCUGAGACGCGAAAGCGUGGGGAGCAAACAGG
rnacentral:rRNA from 1 species